GACGGGGGGGGGCAAGUGUUCUUCGGAAUGACUGGGCGUAAAGCGCGUGUAGGCGGCUUUGCAAGUCGGGUGUGAAAGCCCUCGGCUCAACCUCGAGACGUCGGCGGAAACCCUCUGGCUAGAGUCCGGAAGAGGAGAGUGGAAUUCCUGGUGUAGCGGUGAAAUGCGCAGAUAUCAGGAAGAACACCCGUGGCGAAGGCGGCUCUCUGGGACGGUACUGACGCUGAGACGCGAAAGCGUGGGGAGCAAACAGG
rnacentral:rRNA from 1 species